AAAGCCCAAAAUAUUCUCUCCCAACAGAGACCACAGCUGGGUCAAGCUCAUAUCCGUGGAUAACACCUUGUGGGUACAUUUCAAGAAUCAAUUUUGCAGCCGAUCCGGCUCCGAACCCGAGUAUUCCUAAAGGCCCAGGUGGUAAAAUUGGAGGAAGAGUUGCAAAAACAUCUUAAUAGGCAUUGGUGAUGGACAUGAAAAGGAAAGAUAUGCUGUGGAUGUUACCAGGAGCAUCUAGAAGAAGAAGGCGAGACCCAGCUAAUGGAUGGUCAGCUCUUCUAGAAACUUGUAGAACACGGAUGUAGUUGUGCCUGGACUUGAAUUUGACUAGGGUUUUGACAUGUUCAAUGGAGAUGCCAUCAUCUUGUUCUUGUUGUUGAUUUGUGGAAGUGAUGUUUUUGUGGUUUGAAGCAGCUUGAAUUGGGCAGAAUUUUAGAGUUAUAGGGUUUUGAGGUUUAUGGUGGAUUUUGAGGAAUUUGGGCGGGGAAGAAGGAAGGAGGAAACAUUGAAGUGGGGGUUGGAAUUGGAUGGAGAUUUUGAAGUUUUGUGCUGCUACUGAAUUCAUAGUGUUACAAGACGAAAACUUGUUUGUAGCAAUUGAUUUAUAAGUAGACGAUUCACUUUGCUAAAAUUGGAAGUCCCUUAAAUAUAACUUAUUUUCACUUUGCUAAAAUUGGAAGUCCCUUAUAAGGGAUCUAAGUUUUAACGCACGUUGAAGCUCUUCUAAUGGCGAAAUUGCUCUUCAAAUAUCCCCAGUACCAAUAUCAGCGGUAACGCUCAUUAGCUAGAGGCCCAUUAUUAAUGGUUCCAUUAAGAUCAAUUUUGCUAUUUAUUCUGCUCUUUAAGAGCUUCGGGUCAAUUAUUAUUGCCGAACAAAUUGAAGAAGAGUUCUCAGAAGCACUGUUGUUGAGGCCAUUACCAGAUCGUAAAGUGUUGGCGCAUUUUCACUUCGAAAGUAAAAUCCCCCCAACUCGCACUCAUGGCCCCCACCACAGUCUCUUCCCUAAAUCCAUUUAUCAGCUGGUACACUUUCAAUUUGGCUUCUUAUUAUCUCAAUGAAUAUUUUUUUGAUUUUAUUUAGUUUCGUAUUAGCAUUUUUUUAGCUCUGUAUAUGGUAGGGGACUAGGUGGAAAAAUCAUAUGCAAUUAAAGAGAAUGCUAACAUAGCACAAUGAAAGUAAAUGGUCUAUACAGGAAUACUAACUGCUCGAGAUUAAGAUGUAGUUGUUUUUGUUACAUUUGCAUUAGUUCCCACAUUUGUCAAUUUUGUUUAGUUCUAAGUAAGCCGUGCAGAGAUAAGCCUGAGAUUUAACACUUUUAACUUUAAGGAAGCAGCGCCGAGGGUCGAUUGGAAACAGCCUCACUGCCCUUUCGGGUAGGGGUAAGGCCCGUCUACAUAUUACCCUCCUCAGACCCCACUUUGUGGGACUAUACUGGGUAAUUCUUGUUGUUGGAAGUCCCUUAUAAAUAACUGAUUUUGGAGUUUUAGCAUUUUGUUCUUGACAAUAUAUACAGGAAAUUUAUUCAUCAUGGGGAUAAUUACAUCUUUUUAGUAAAAUACUUCUAGCUCUAAGCGCGAAUUGCUAAACAAUUUAAUUUAAGAUAGAUAAAUACAAGUUUUCAUAGAAUAAAACUACCCACGUGAACAAAACCUCUGUGCUCAAGACGUAUGGAAGAUGGCUAAAAACAAGCAUUAGUGAAGCUUAAAUUUUUUACCGAGUUCAAGAAUCUUAGAUAUAGUCACUGCUUGUUACUAGCGGCCAAUUGAUAAGUAGGAGACUGAUCAAUGAUCACCACCCUCUAUUUAACAUAAUCUAGUUUUCUACAUAAGAAGUUGAAUUAUCAUUGUCUGAAAAUUACAUGGAUAAUCCACAGUACUACAUGGAGAACCCUCCAAGACAACAGAUAAUUAUAUCUUAUCAGCAUGGCUAUCGGUAAGAAGAAAGGACACUGUUUACUUUCGCAUGUAACUCAUAAAUCUGCAAUCUAAAACCAACGUACUACAAUCUACACAGUUAAUCUGCAAACUCAAAACUUGACCUCAGCUAGAAUACUCCAUUGACACAUUCAAGUGCAACUUUCCCAUGUAUAGAGCUCCUAUUUCUACUUCUUUUAGCACAGGAGACUGAGGAACAAUUGAUAAGUAGAGGGGAAGGUCCAAAGCUCAUGGCUUGUAAUUUCAACCCAGAACCAAUUAUCAGUUAUUGCACUUGCCAAGAUGUAGAAGAUAGCUUUUGAACUAGUGAUAUAAUUUCAACCCAGAAGCAAUUAUCAGUUAUUGCACUUGCCAAGAUGUAGAAGAUAGCUUUUGAACUAGUGAUCAGCAUCAACCAUGUCAUCAUCUACUUUGGCUUGGUUGUCGACAUCCCUGCAUCACAAGCCAUAUACUUCAGCUUUUUAUAGAAGGGAAUGUUCAUUUCGUAAAAGCACUAAAACUUGAAAAUAAAAUUUCUUAGGGAGUCUUAAUCAGAAUCUUCUCCAAACCAAAGGUUGAUUAAGGCUAGUCUCACCACAUUCGUUCACACAUUACAAGUUAAAGUUCAAACCAGUAAACAUUCAACCAAAUACCAGAGCCUUAUCAAGUAACAACUUUCCAAAAAUGUAAAGACACUAGAGGAUAAACAAGUGUGCUUCAGUUUGCAAAACACAAAUAUUCAACGACUUAACAAAUGUGAUGAAUGCAACUUGAGGCCCUACCUCAUGUAAGUUGUUGUUUCGACUGGAGUAAGAUUACUAUCAGAACUUCGUUGUCUAGGAUGCUCAUCUUCAUCAGCGUCAGACCCAUAAUCCUCUCCAUUCCAUAUAAUUGGUUUCGGUCUUUGAUCCAUAUCUUCCUCUUCCUGCAGUCAGAAGUCCUAGAAUAAGGUUGCGUAGUAUAUAUAGAAAUUAUAUGAUCAAGGCCUUGUACUGGCCACUAACCUCCUCUGGAACUUCUGUUGUACAAGGAGUGGUUUGAAAUGGCAUACUAGGUGCAUGAGGUAAUUGUGAGAGUUGCUCAAGCAAUAUGUUCCUGCAGCAAGCAAGCAUUAAUGUCAAGUAACAUCUACAGGUUGUGUAUUCACUCUAAAAACAAAAAGGAAAAGAGGGACAUAAUUGUCUGAGUUCACAAGUUGCCUAAGGAAGAAAAUUAGGAAUUUAUGGAUUGAAAGAAUAUAUAUUUGUCAGCAUAUUAUAUCAAAUAAGUGCAUAAAGAGUAUAUAGUUCACCACCAUUAACAAAACAAAAGGCCGAACCUUUCCCUAUUCUUGGGUGGAAUAACCCGAUAUGUCUAUUCUUGGGUGGACGAACCCAAAGUAGCCUAUUCUUGGGAAGAGGCAGAGCUAGAGUAUCACUUACGAGUUCAGACGAACCUGGUAGUUUUUGCGUAUACCCUAUCUUUAAUUACGAAAUCCAUUAAACACGUAUAAAUAUUUAAAUGCGAACCCAAUAACUAAAAGGAGUUAUAAGUUUGGUGGCAAGUUCAGAAACCAUAAACUUCAAAUCCUGGCUCCACCUCUACUCUUGGGUGGACAAACCCAGAAUGCCCUAUUCUUGGUGGGACGAACCCCAAAUGUCCUAUUCACGGGUGGACGAACCCAAAAUUGUCCUGUUCAUGGGUGGACGAACCCAAAAUGCCCCCAAAUAUCCUAUUCACGGGUGGACGAACCCAAAAUUGUCCUGUUCAUGGGUGGACGAACCCAAAUGUCCUGUUCAUGGGUGGACAAACCCAAAAUGCCCUGUUCGUGGAUGAACAUGAAAUGUCCGAUACUAGUACAAUCUAGUUACGGAUAGAAUAACAGAAUUUACCUCAUGUACACCACUGAAGCAUCAAUUUUUAUGUAUCAGUAUUACCGAUUAUCUGUUAUCAAUUAAUGUCACAUGCCCAAAUUUAAAAGAACUUCAACAUAAUUCUGUUCAGCACCAAAAUAAACAUAGGAAAGGGGUGUUUAACUAACACAUCAAGAAAAUUAGCUAAGGUCAGUAUUUUCGACAGACGCUGGUGGAGAAGCCCUCAAACUACAGGAAAUAGCACAAUUGUCAAAUUACCUGAUCUUCUCCAGAUCCCUGGGUGAAUUCUUAUUCUCCAUGGGGUUAGGUUCAACAUGAAGAGUAUAAUCUGGGCCAAAAUACUCAUAAUAUUCAUUGUAAGGCAAUUUAUUUCCUGGUUCUACCCCAACUGCAACUGCUGUCUGCAACAAGCAGUUGAAACUUAGCACAUAUUCUGAUACACAUAGUAGUAAAAGUAGGGAAUCCGAAAAGUAGACACAAAAGAGCAAGAUGGAAAGGUAAGAGUUCCUCAUAGCACCAGCACCUCGUAACAUUUCUUAUGGUAUAACCUCCACCACCCAAUACCAUUAGAGGGACAUUGAAAGAUCUGAGGAAUCUAAGACAGUCUGCAUGGCCCUUGACUGACAAAUUGAAGCAACCCAACCUGUCUCCAGCCAGUGAAUCAGCCCCACAUUGAAGAACGACAACAUCAGGUUGAUAGACCUCCAUGACUUUUUGAAUUACGGGACGAAAUAGACGACCAAAACUAUCGUCGUCCAUCCCAUCAUUCAAUGGAACAUUUAGGGCAUAGUAUUUCCCUUGAACUGCACCAAUAUCUUUGAUAUGCCCUGUACCAGGAAAGAAGUCCCCAAACUUAUGGAAAGACACUGUCAUGACUCUAUCCGUUGUGAAAAAAGCCUCCUCAACACUAUCACCAUGGUGAAUAUCAAUGUCUAUAUACAAUACACGCUGCAGAAAACACUCAACAUUUCAGAGGAACAGUACUCAGAAGAAUCUCUAUUCCAUGCAAAAGAGUGGAUCCAAGCAAAAGAAGCUGUGAAGCCAUAGCUUACUAUUGUAUGUAAAGACAAACAUACUACAAUUAUCCAUAUCCCAUAGUUAAUUUUUGAUCAAGUUAGCAACUUUUCAUAAAUGAAUGGGCCAAAACAAAAGCACCCAUAUACAAGAGGUAUACCAAAAAGUAUAGAACCUACAAAAGGCAAUGGUUCUCUACGAUAGAAACCCAAUCUUUUAUACAGCAAGGAGCUUCAUGGCUGCACCAAAAGAAAACAAGGGAAAAGAGGCUACUUCUUAACUGAAUAAAAUUCAUCUCUAUCCCUUCAAAAGCUCUUAUGUUUCUUUCUCUCCAAAUAACCCACAUGAUUGCUAGUGGAGCAACAGUCCAUGCCCUGCACCUUAUAUUUGAUAAGCAGAGAAAUGACAAGCAAUCAACUAAGUUCCAUUCCCUAGAAAUCUUACAGAUUAGUACUUAGUAAGUUCUAUUGAGACUCAAUGUGAUUAAUCACUUGAGUGGAGUUUUAACAAAUAUAUGUACGUAGAGGUGGAACUAAAUUGCAACUUUUUUUUUUGAAACUGGUAACUUUUCUAUAUUUCAUAUGUAGCAAAAACAGUACUUAGGAAGUACUAAAACCAUAUAUACAAGAGACUCUAUCUAUCACUAACACUCUCUAUAUUGAGUCUAAAACAUCAAUAAUGGUAUUAUUAUCAUUUGUGUACAUCUGAUUACACCAAAAUCUUAACAGCAAAAUAAAGUUUAACUUAAUCUUCUGCACUUCAUUCUCCACAUUCUCAAAACAUCUGGAGUUUCUCUCUUUCAAAAUCGUCCACCAAACACAAGCAGGUUCUAGUCCUGUCCUUUGCAUGUAGUCCUGCUUCCUCCCAACUUUUAAGAGUAUCUAUACAACUAAAUUGCAACUUGAAAUUGUAAUGUGUUGAUAUUUCUUUUAACUUGUCUUUAUGAUACGUGAGAUGUUUCCGUAAAGAUGGAACAGAUCUAUCUUAGCUAAUACAAUGAUAAUAGGCAGGUUUUUUUUUAAUUCUCCAGCAUAGAUUUGACAGAAUAAAUUCAAGUUAUCUGCUUUGCUGAACUUUAAACUAGGGACUUUUUCCAUUUCCUCAGAUAAGUAAUUUAAGCUUCCAUACCUUCAAUAAUUCAUAAAGAUGGUAAGUAUGAUUUAUUCCCUGCACAUAACACUUCUUUGAAGUUACACCAACCUGAAUCAACCAAUCCACAAGGAUAUAAACCAUGGGCAAUCAUGCAUAUCCUUUUGUUUGCUUCAUCCUCAAAAUGGUUAUAUGUCAAUAUAUGUUUAGUAAAAAUUGAAUAGAUUUGAUAAACAUAUGAUUUAAUACAACAUCCAUAUAAACAUCCAAAGGUGAGAAAUCUUCACUGUGAAAUACGAUUUUUGAUUGUUACCUUUUUGUAAAUCUAACAAAAAUCUUACAAUCAUAUUCUGUUUCAUAAAAAAAUCUUACAACCAUAUAUGCUUUCAACCUUAACCAAGUUUCAUGAUUAAAACAAUAAACAAUAGACUCCAAAAGAACUUCAGAACUGAAGCAUACAAAACUAAAAUGAAACAUAAAUUGACAUAUACCGUUGAUGUUUAUAAAUUGUCGAUAAAGCACUAUGUCAAAACAAAUAAAUUAUCAAGGUUUAUCAUUAAUUACUAAUGCUCUCUUGUUUUUGUCUUUCCUUCACUGAGCCGGGGGUCGAUUGGAAACAGCCUCUCUGCCCUUUCGGGUAGGGGUAAGGCUCGUCUACAUAUUACCCUCCCAAAUAAAUUAUCAAGGUUUAUCAUUAAUUACUAAUGCUCUCUUGUUUUUGUCUUUCCUUCACUGAGCCGGGGGUCGAUUGGAAACAGCCUCUCUGCUCUUUCGGGUAGGGGUAAGGCUCGUCUUCAUAUUUACCCCCCCAGACCUCACUUUGUGGGACUAUACUGGGUAGUUGUUGUUGUUGUUGUUGUAUCAAGGUUUAUCAUGACUUGUGAACAUGAAAGAAUACGGAAAUAGAAAUACUUCUUUAACAUUGGAUAAGAAAUUAACUAAACACUAGGAUCAAAUACCUAAAUAUAACUCUGAACUAAUUUUCCUUAGUCCCAGACCCAAAGAAAACAAAAUCCGUCGUCUCACUCUUUUUUUAACUUAGCUUAAAUUUUAUCCAAAUCCGAAGUGAGUCUAAAAUCUAAAAUAGAAUAUUCACAAGGAGAUGAAGCUGUUAAGUUACCCCCUUGUCUACUGUUUUCUAGUGAAUCCGGAGUGAGUCUAAAAUCUAAAAGAGAAUAUUCACAAGGAGAUGAAGCUGUUAAGUUACCCCCUUGUCUACUGUUUUCUAGUUGGAGAUAUCAGAAAUUUCUGUGAACCUUGAAGUUCAUCAAACACAGUAGAUUUUCAAAAGUCACUAAUUGUUAUCUGGGUAUGGUACAUUAUGCUCCCUCCUGUCACAAUCCAUAUGUUAUUGUUUGACUCUGUACUCAAAUUUUUUUAAUGUUUGAUAAUGAUAAUGAUAGUUAAAAACAUUUUGAAAAAUCUCAUCAACUUAACUCUUGAAGUACUGUUUCAAUUUUCACUUUGCUACCGAUUUUUGAGUUACUCAUUAUAAUUUUGACCUCAUAUAGUCAAACAGGUUACAUAAAACUAGACAAACAACAACAACUACCCAGUAAAAUCCCACAAUGUGGGAUCUGGGGAGGGUAAUGUUUACGCAUACCUUACCCCUGCCCCGAUAGGGCAGAGAGGCUGUUUCCGAUAGACCCUCGGCUCAGGAAAAAAAAAUAGGAAAAGAAAACGAUAGAGCAGAGAGGUUGUUUCCGAUAGACCCUCGGUUCAGGGGAAAAAAAUAAGAAAAGAAAAGAAAAGAGAAUUCAUUAGUAACUCCGGUAGAAACCGUAAUAAUAACAACAUCAUAAAAACCAAAGGAUGAAUGCAAUAACAGUAACCAGAGUCUAAGGCCUGGGCUAUGAUAAACAGCAAGAAUAGUGUGGGUUUAACAUAAACUGCAAGCCAUCUAAGAUCAACCGCAAUCCACCCCCACCCCCGGUAUGAAGUAAGGAAAGCUCUACUACCCUUAUCCUACAACCCUAAUGCUUGGUCUCCAGGCAUUCCUAUCAAGGGUCAAUCCAGUCAGCCAUUCCAAUCCUGCUCUACCCACACACUUCCAAAACUCAACCCGAAUUUCAUCUGGCCCGGUCGCUCUAGCCCUACUCAUAUUACGCACAGUUGUACCAUGUCCUGCUUGAUCACCUCUCCCCAAUUCUUCUUAAGUAUCCCUCUACCCCUUAUCGUACCCACCACGGCCAACCGCUCACACCUCAUUAUCGUGCAUCAAGGCUUCUCCCAUGCACAUGCCCGAACCAUCUGAGUCUUGCUUCCCGCAUCUUGUCAUCCACAGGGGCGACGCCCACCUUCUUCCGAAUGUCUUCAUUCCUAAUCUUGUCUAUCCUAGUGUACCCGCACAUCCACCUCAGUAUCCGCAUCUCUGCUACUUUCAUCCUCUAGAUAUAGGAGUUCUUACACGGCCGACACUCUACCCUAUAUAAGGCCGGUCUAACCACAGCUCUAUAAAACUUACCUUUGAGUAUCAGUGGCACUUUCUUGUCACACAAGACUCUAGAUGCAAGCCUUCAUUUCAUCCAGCCCGCCCAUAUGCGGUGAGUGACGUCCUCGUCGAUCUCUCUGUCCCCCUGAAUCAUCGACCUAAGGUACUUGAAGCUAUCUUUCUUGGGGAUGACCUGUGACCCAAGCCUCACGUCCCCGUCUACUUGCCUCGACUCAGCGCUAAACUUGCACUCCAGGUACUCUGUCUUAGACCUGCUCAAUUUGAAACCCUUAGAUUCGAGAGUCUGUCUCCAAACCUCCAAUCUCUCGUUAACACCGGCCCUCGUCUCAUCAAUUAAACUAUGUCAUCAGGAAAUAACAUACACCAUGGCACCUCCCUUUGAAUAUAAUGUGUCAAAGCAUCCAUCACAAAGGCAAACAAGAACAGGCUAAACGCAGAGCCUUGGUGUAAUCCCAUAACAACUAGGAAAUGCUCCAGUCGCCUCCCACAGUCCUAACCUUAGUCUUAGCUCCAUCAUAUAUGUCCUUGAUCGCUCUUAUGUAGGCUACUGGCACGCGCUUUGCCUCAAGACAUCUCUAGAUCACCUCCCGAAGAACCUUGUCAUACGCUUUCUCCAGGUCAAUAAACACCAUGUGCAGAUCCUUUUUCUUAUCCCUAUACUGUUUCACCAACCUCCUAAUAAGGUGGAUAGCUUCCGCAGUUGAGCGGCCCGGCAAGAACCCAAACUGAUUGCCGGAUAUAGACAUCGUCUUCCUCACCCUCACCUCCACCACUGUCUUAGUUGAGCAGCCCGGCAUGAACCCAAACUGAUUGCCGGAUAUAGACAUCGUCUUCCUCACCCUCACCUCCAUCACUGUCUCCAAAACUUUCAUGGUAAGGCUAAGUAACUUGAUACCCCUAUAAUUUUUCCAACACUGGAUAUCACCUUUGUUCUUGUACAACGGUACCACUGUACUCGACCUCCAUUCCUCCAGCAUCCUCUUCGUCCUAAAAAUUACAUUGAACAAUCCAGUCAGUCAUUCCAAUCCUGCUCUACCCACACACUUCCAAAACUCAACCCGAAUUUCAUCUGGCCCGGUCGUUCUAACCCUACUCAUAUUACGCAAAGCCCCCACGGCCUCAUCCCUCUUAAUGCGCCUAUAAAACUAGACAAAGGGAAUAGUAAGUUUAUAAAGGAGGACACUAUAAUAAUCAAGAUGACUUAAGUGUCAAAUGAAGAGUUAGUGAUUCAAAAGCACUACAAGGUUAGCAUUAAGGCAAUGCUAUCGAGAUCAUCCAAGGGUUUAAGUUAAAGGCUAAUGUUAUUUGCUUUAGUCCUACAUUGGUGUUAGGAAUAAUAGGAGAGGGAAACGAGAGGAAACUGAAAAGAAUGGUCACUUAAUACAAAAAUAUUCCUCAUACGACCAUAAGAUAAUAUGUGAUUAGUCACAUAGGGGAACAAUAGUGCUUCUAUACACCAGUAUUUGGCUCUAUCUUUUUUGUUUUUGUUUUUUCUUUUGUGACGGUAGUAUCCAAGUCAACUUGUGCAUACCUCGAUUAUUCUACCACGUACCUACUACAUCCUACUAGCAUAGGUACAGGACAUCUACCCACCAAGGCUUAGGUACAAGUAUAUUACACCAAAAACUUAACACAUCCUACUAGCAUAGGUACAGGACAUCUACCCACCAAGACUUAG
rnacentral:lncRNA from 1 species